AGUCAAUGCUUAUUCCAACUAAAUUUGUUCCAUUUCAUCUGGAGCUCCACCACACGGAGAGAAAAGAAAAGAAAAGAAAAGAAAUCUCACAACAAAAACUAAGGUUAAGACAUGAUCAAGAUGGAGUUACCUGCUGCUGCAGGAGUUGCUGUCUUACUACUGGUUAACACAGUCCAAGCUGAAGUCUGCCCUCCUUCUUGCAUAUGCAAAUCACCCAAAGGAACGAAGAUCCAGCUAAUUGACUGCAGCUCAAGGGGACUAAAGGAAGUGCCUGCCCUGCCUGCUAGUACCAAGCAACUUUAUCUACAGAAUAACAGCUUGACCACUGUUCCUACUGGUGUAUUUGAUGGCUUAGUCAGCCUGGAAGAAGUGAACGUACUCAACAAUCCCUGGAACUGUGACUGCCACAUUCUAUAUCUCAAACUCUGGUUAGAAGACUUCAACUCUUCUCUCACCAACCUCAGCUGUGCAAGCCCAGCUUCCAUUGAGGGAAAGCCUUUGAACCAAUUAAGUGGGAAUGAGCUGGAUGGCUGUAGGGCACUUUUCCCAAUCAAAUGCCUUGAGUUCUUUUGGCGGGAUCUUGUUUUGAUCAUCUUUGCAAUAAUUGCACUUAUUUUAAUGGCAUAUGACCUGAAGCACUUCAAAAAGCUAGCCAUCAAGUUACUGUGAGCCAGAAUAAGCCUUUUGGCCUACUGCUGCAAAAGCAGAGCCUAGAAAACUACAAAUCACAAUGAGAUGUCAUAAUCACUAAUAGCUCUCUUCACUAGAAUAGCAAACUUCCCCGUCACAAAGGAUGCAAUUGCACAGGAAGUACAAGUUCAGAAUUAAGUCUAUUGGGAUGGGUCCCAAGAUGGAAAGCUUGGAUCCUCACAUAUCUCUUUCCCCAGAAUUCAGGUAUAAGAGCUUGAUUUGUACCCAUCUUUAAACUGCACUUAAUGUACUUAUUAGCAAGUCACAGUAAAUUAAUCUUAAACUGCUUUCAAUAAGCAUGUAGCUAAUAUAGGAUUGUUUUAGGAAGUUUUAUUUCACUCUAAUCUGUGAUUCUAAAAGAUGUAAUUUCACAUUUUUGCCAUUAUAGUCUCAGCUCUUCUCACAGAAGUUUUUACAAUGUAAUGCUAACUAACUAGCUUUUGCUAAUGUAUAGAUACAGAUGUAGUAUACAGAUUACAGUAUAUCAUAAUUACUAAGUUAGAUGCCAAUCCUAACUCUGACUCUGUAUACCCCUAUGCUGAUAUACAGUCAUAUUGACACACUUGCAUAGUCACAUUCAGCCAUUCUAUCAAACAGAGCAGUUUGCUAUACAUCAGUGACCUGUUUUUUCAGCUAUUUACUGCUCCCUCAGUCAGUGUCAUUUGCAAACUUUUUUAUUUGUGAUUUUGUGUUCUCUUUCAAAUGACUGAUUAAAAGAACCAAACCUUGCUGGCCUUUCCUUCAGAAGUUUAUUUACAGCUUUUGCCAAAACAGUACAAUAAAAUGAUAUUAUAAAAACAGCAUUUAUAUAAAUUGUAAUUUUACUAAAAGUAUAUAAUAAGAUUAUCCAUUGUACUAGUUUACACAAAAUUAAAACAGAACAUGAUGUAUAAUGAUAUCAAAGAAAAUGUUAAAUGAAGUCAUGAAUGAU